ensembl:lncRNA
GGCCACCCGAAUUUGCAUUUCUGGAUGCUCUUACUGGACAGGGAUGGGCCUGAGAAGUCUUUAGUGCCCCUCUGGGUAACACCAUGCUGAGCUCUCUGAAGAGGACACAAAAGAGAACAAGAAUGUGGGUAACGACCACAAAGAGACAAGGACUAGCUGGAGGAGAGACUGCCAGUGCUCACACUGUAACUGGAGUGCUCUGAGCAAAACGCAUCGCAAACUGAGCAGAGCAGCUCACAUUUCCCGGGAAUCCAGAGGCCUCCUCGGCCAAGGACUCCACAAUGCUGGAUAUUUUCAUCCUGAUGUUCUUUGCCAUCAUAGGCCUGGUCAUUCUGUCCUACAUUAUCUAUCUGCUCUAGCGGCCUGUAGCUGCGGCGGGGAGCCCACAGGAGAACAGCUCAGGGGGGAAGGAUGAAGCUGGCUGGCCGAGCAUCCUGCUUUGUUGACGCACCGGUGGAUUUUUGCUUCUGGUCGUCAUUUCGGCUCCUGGUCUCCAAUCCAACAAGAGGCCUCUUAUCAACAGCAGCAGUCCUACUGCCCAGCAGACCUCUUCCAGAGCCUCCCGGAUACGGUUAACCCCUGUCAAGCAAGGGGCUUUUUGAGCUCAGAGGCACAGGCGCUCGGCUGGGACGUGAGGAAUUCAUGGGCCCUGCUGGCAGAUACUGUGUGCGUGUGUGAGUGUAGAUAGAGGGUGUUGAGAACACAGAGCUGAAAUGUGGACUCAUUCAAGUUACCAUGGAGAACUGCUCAGAAUUCAUUUUAUAGGCUUUCCUUAGGUCUAAAUGCAACUGUAUAUUAUGCUAAAAUAUGUUCCUUCCUUUCCCGCUCACACGCAGGGUUUCCCCUGUAAAUUCAAGAGCGCGCUGUCUCUGUUCAUCUAUGAGACGUCACUUUAUCACUCACUGUCUCUACAGAUUGCACAAUCUGGGCUUGUGUGGUUUCCCUGUCUUACACUCGAGCCAGAAGGAACUUGUCAUUUGAGUUUUUAAGAUUUAUCGUAUCUUCCCCAUUCCAUACCACUUCUGCCCCAGCUUCUCAUUUUAAGAGAGAAACAGUUAAUUAUCCUCAUUCUUUGUGCCUGGCUGAAUUAUAAAUUAUUGAAACAAGAUGGCUAUACUUAUCUUAUUAUUUGGGAAAAAUAUCUCUCUUAUCCCAAAAUAAACGAUUUUUAUGUUGUCAAAUGUUCCUUUUCUGGAAAAAAACCUUUCAGCAUAUUUCUGUCCAGUUAGGGUGAAGAAACCAUGUAUUUUGGAGGCCAGGGUAGACUUGGGCCCCAAAUCUGUAGUAUCUAUUCUUUUGAAAAAUCUAUCAUAAUUGUUAUACAUUUGAUUCUCCUUUCUAGCUUAAAAAUAAACAAGGAGAAAGAUUAACUUAAUAGUUUUUAUUCAUACCAUCAUGUUCAAUUUCCAUGUUUUAAAAAGACGUAAGAUCGAGGCAGUAUAUGUCACAAUUAAAAUGGAAAACUUGCAUAAAUUCUGGCCAAGAAAAAACACUGUUUUGGGAGAUUUGUCUUGGCAACAAAUUAUGUGACCUUCAGUAAGUCAUUUAACCUUCAGGGUUUCAUUUUUUCCUGACAAGUGAAAGAGUUGGACUAGAAAAUUGUUAGUGUCCCUUUCCACUUAAGAAUUCUCCAGUUCUAGAAUGAUUAUCUUUGGAAGCUACAUCUUUGAGAUCAGAAUUCCCACGGAACAAACUCUUAAUAGUUUGCCAGUAGUUCCCU